GAGAAGAAACGGCGGAGACCUGAGACCCGGAGGCUGAGGCUGUAGGUGGGCUCCGCUGGGUAAAAGUUGCCGCAGCAGCUGUCCCUUGGCCCCAUCGCGAUUUAUUUUUCCCCCUUGCUUUCCGGGUCCCGGGAUCCCAAGUUUGUAACUAACGGGAGCGAAUCCACACCCGAGCAAAAUGUUUGCGAGUUUCAGGCGCCCUUAGUUGAAAGGCUGUAAUUAACAAGUCCGCUGUUUGCCAGCCAGGCGCCGUUGCAGGCGCUUUCUGUGGAUUGUCAUUUAUUUCUCACAGCAACCCUAGGAGGCUGUUAUCCUUGACAUCUGCAGCAGCCCUUCCAAGCUGUGGAGACCAGGUCAUCUGGAAUGCCCAUUUAUGUCAAUGGAAGAAAGAAAAAGGGGUCUCCUCCCAUCCUCACCACUGCAUUCUCCCACCAACCCUGCUCCUGUCCCACUUCCCACAACUCAGUUGUUGACAAUUUAACAGUGGGUUUCUGGAAACAGUGCUGCCUCCUUGAUGGUCUAACUAACUACCAGAGUUAUUCUAACAGCAGGAAUUUCAAGCCAGGUAAGGGGAGCUAUGUCAGGCUGCCAGAUGGUGGGGAAGACAGGUGUGGGUGAGCUGGCUUCAGACUAAAGGAAGAGGAGAUCAAGUGUUGGAAUCACAUUUGAGAAAAGGAGUCAAGUGAACUUCAUUACCCAUUAUAGAGGCCUGUUAUAUCCUUUAGUGCUAUUUGGACUUGGAUUGAACCUGUGACAAAUCCUUUUCUUAUGCUUCUUCCAUCCCUGCUUCCAUGUUAUAUCCUUUCCCCUUCUAAAAUGGUAAUAAUGAGAAAUAACUAUUACUAAUUACCCUAGAACAUAAAUUUCAUUUAAGGUGUCACAAUCAGAUUAUCAUCUUCAGUUUUUCAGAGCCGCAAACUUCCCAUGGUUAUAUGCAGGUAGUACUAAAUGGAUGGAUCUGGGAUCAAACUCAGGGCUUUCUGACUUUAAAAGUCUUGUUCUGCUACCCUCCAAGUGGCCUAGGGUGAUUUGCCCUAAACGGUUCACCUCUGUAUGAUGAUGCAUCCAUGCAGUGGGGCUUAUGGAAAGUGAAUGUGGAGCCUCAGGGCCUUAAUCUUGAAGCAGGCUCUCUAGAAGGGAGCUUGCAGAAGGAGUGGGGACUCGAUGAGAUGCUGUUUUCUCAUUGUGUUUCAGUGAUGACUGAAAAUUUGUUGCCAGCGUCUAUCUGGAAACAAUGUUUUGAUGAUCCACCACCCCAUCCCUCCAAACCACUUUCUUGCACAUACUCCAGAAUAAUAGACAGAAGAAUUUAAUACAUGUGAUGCUUUGCCUUCCAUUUACACUAUCAUAAAUUACAAAGUAUUGUUCACUUCACAAAAUAAAACCAUUUCCAGAUA
rnacentral:lncRNA from 1 species